rnacentral:rRNA from 1 species
GCAAACGUUGUUCGGAAUUACUGGGCGUAAAGCGCGUGUCGGCGGCUAUGCACGUCGGAUGUGAAAGCCCUGGGCUCAACCUAGGAAGUGCACUCGAAACUGCAGAGCUGGAGUCCUGGAGAGGAAGGCGGAAUUCUCGGUGUAGAGGUGAAAUUCGUAGAUAUCGAGAGGAACACCGGUGGCGAAGGCGGCCUUCUGGACAGUGACUGACGCUGAGACGCGAAAGCGUGGGGAGCAAACAGG